rnacentral:tRNA from 1 species
GCCCAGGUGGUGGAAUGGUAGACACGCUAGUUUCAGGGACUAGUGCCAGCAAUGGUGUGCAAGUUCGACUCUUGUCCUGGGCA